rnacentral:rRNA from 1 species
GUGCCAGCCGCCGCGGUAAUACGAAGGGUGCAAGCGUUAAUCGGAAUUACUGGGCGUAAAGCGUGCGUAGGCGGUUCGUUAAGUCUGUCGUGAAAGCCCUGGGCUCAACCUGGGAAUGGCGAUGGAUACUGGCGAGCUAGAGUGUGAUAGAGGAUGGCGGAAUUCCCGGUGUAGCGGUGAAAUGCGUAGAGAUCGGGAGGAACAUCUGUGGCGAAGGCGGCCAUCUGGAUCAACACUGACGCUGAGGCACGAAAGCGUGGGGAGCAAACAGGAUUAGAAACCCCAGUAGUCC